AAUGAACGCUGGCGGCGUGCCUAACACAUGCAAGUCGAGCGGUAAGGCCCCUUCGGGGGUACACGAGCGGCGAACGGGUGAGUAUCGCGUGGGUAACCUACCCAGAGGUAGGGGAUAGCCUCGGGAAACCCGGGGGUAAUACCGUAUGAGUCCUCUUUGACGCAAGUCGAUGAGGGGAAAGGCGGGGAUCCUUCGGGACCUGUCGUCUCUGGAUGGGCCCGCGUCCGAUUAGCUUGUUGGUGGGUAAUGGCCCACCAAGGCUGCGAUCGGUAGCCGGCCUGAGAGGGUGAACGGCCACAUUGGGACUGAGACACGGCCCAGACUCCUACGGGAGGCAGCAGUGGGGAAUAUUGGGCAAUGGGGGAAACCCUGACCCAGCGACGCCGCGUGGAGGAUGAAGGCCUUCGGGUUGUAAACUCCUGUCAGGUGGGAAGAAAUGCCUACCGGUUAAUAGCCGGCAGGAGCUGACGGUACCACCAAAGGAAGCCCCGGCUAACUCCGUG
rnacentral:rRNA from 1 species